rnacentral:tRNA from 1 species
UGUAGUUCAGUGGUAGAGUACAUGUUUAGCAUGCAUGAGGCCCUGGGUUCAAUCCUCAGCA